GCUAACGAGCGCAACCCUCGCUGUGUGUUAUAUGUGUCACACAGGACUGCUGGUAUUAAGCCGGAGGAAGGUGGGACGACGUCAAGUCAGCAUGACCUUUAUAUCCAGGGCUACACACACGCUACAAUGGUCAGUACAAUGGGUUGCCAAGCCGCGAGGCGGAGCCAAUCCUAAAAAGCUGGCCUCAGUUCAGAUUGCAGUCUGAAACUCGACUGCAUGAAGUCGGAGUUGCUAGUAAACGCAGGUCAGCUAUACUGCGUUGAAUACGUUCCCGGGGCUU
rnacentral:rRNA from 1 species